AAAGAAGGAUCUUUCGCUAAGAACAUGCACGUCCUAUGCAUAACGCGAAAGUCACCACAUCCUGUGGA
rnacentral:sRNA from 1 species